UACGUAGGGGGCAAGCGUUGUCCGGAAUCAUUGGGCGUAAAGCGCGUGUAGGCGGCUGGGUAAGUCCGCUCUGAAAGCCCGGGGCUCAACCCCGGGAGGCGGGUGGAUACUGCUCAGCUCGAGUCCGGAAGGGGAGUGUGGAAUUCCUGGUGUAGCGGUGAAAUGCGCAGAUAUCAGGAGGAACACCGAUGGCGAAGGCAGCACUCUGGGACGGUACUGACGCUGAGACGCGAAAGCGUGGGGAGCGAACAGG
rnacentral:rRNA from 1 species